ACGAACGCUGGCGGCGUGCUUAACACAUGCAAGUCGAGCGGUAAGGCCCUUUCGGGGGUACACGAGCGGCGAACGGGUGAGUAACACGUGGGUGACCUGCCCUCCACUCUGGGAUAAGCCCGGGAAACUGGGUCUAAUACCGGAUAGGACCACUGAUCGCAUGGUUGGUGGUGGAAAGUUUUUUCGGUGGGGGAUGGGCCCGCGGCCUAUCAGCUUGUUGGUGGGGUGAUGGCCUACCAAGGCGGUGACGGGUAGCCGGCCUGGGAGGGCGACCGGCCACACUGGGACUGAGACACGGCCCAGACUCCUACGGGAGGCAGCAGUGGGGAAUAUUGCGCAAUGGGCGGAAGCCUGACGCAGCGACGCCGCGUGGGGGAUGACGGCCUUCGGGUUGUAAACCUCUUUCGCCAGGGACGAAGAGCAAUUGACGGUACCUGGAGAAGAAGCACCGGCCAACUACGU
rnacentral:rRNA from 1 species